UACGUAGGGGGCAAGCGUUGUCCGGAUUUAUUGGGCGUAAAGAGCGUGUAGGCGGCCAUGUAGGUCCGUUGUGGAAACUCGAGGCUCAACCUCGAGACGCCGAUGGAAACCAUGUGGCUAGAGUCCGGAAGAGGAGAGUGGAAUUCCGAGUGUAGAGGUGAAAUUCGUAGAUAUUCGGAGGAACACCAGUGGCGAAGGCGGCUCACUGGUCCGGUACUGACGCUGAGGUGCGAAAGCGUGGGGAGCAAACAGG
rnacentral:rRNA from 1 species